rnacentral:rRNA from 1 species
UACAGAGGGGGCAAGCGUUGUUCGGAAUUACUGGGCGUAAAGGGCGCGUAGGUGGCCUUCUAAGUUGAACGUGAAAUCCCUGGGCUCAACCCAGGAACUGCGUCCAAGACUGGGAGGCUUGAAUCCGGGAGAGGGAUGCGGAAUUCCAGGUGUAGCGGUGAAAUGCAUAGAUAUCUGGAGGAACACCGGUGGCGAAGGCGGCAUCCUGGACCGGUAUUGACACUGAGGCGCGAAAGCCAGGGGAGCAAACGGG